GGCGCGUUUGAGUGUCUCUCUGUGGCAGGGAUCCCAGAGUUGGGAGGCGCGGAAGGCGCAACUCCCGGUAUGAAUCAGACGAGCCCAUUCCCAACGUUGGGAAGGUGAAGAUUUACUGCGCAAGAGGCCAAACUGGAGUGGUCAAAAUGGCCUUCCCUCUCCCCACUCCUCAGGAGCUCAUCAUGGCGACGCCCCCUAAACGGCGGGCGCUAGAGGCCACGAGUGAGAAAGUGCUGCGCUAUGAGGCCUUCAUCAGUGACGUGCUUCAGCGGGACCUGCAAAAGGUGCUGGACCAUCGCGACAAAGUAUAUGAGCAGCUGGCCACAUAUCUUCAACUAAGAAAUGUCAUUGAGCGACUCCAGGAAACUAACCACUCGGAGUUAUAUAUGCAGGUGGAUUUGGGCUGUAACUUCUUCGUUGACACAGUGGUCCCAGAUACUUCACGAAUCUAUGUGGCCCUUGGAUAUGGUUUUUUCCUGGAGCUGACAUUGGCAGAAGCUCUCAAGUUUAUUGAUCGUAAGAGCUGUCUCCUCACAGAUUGCCUUGUUCAAAUCAGGAUCCAAGCAAGGUCUGUCCAUAUAUUGCAUUUGGCUGAUAUGUCUCUGAAGUUUCUAUUAAUCUAAUUCAGUUUCCAGAGGCUCAGCGACAGCCUUACCAAGGACUCCAUGAAUAUCAAGGCCCAUAUUCAUAUGUUGCUAGAGGGGCUUAGAGAGCUACAAGGCCUGCACAGUCUCCCAGAGAAGCCUCAUCACUGACUUCAGCUGCCCUCCCCCAACAUUAAAGAGCCUGAAUGCC